rnacentral:rRNA from 1 species
UAGCGUAGGGGGCAAGCGUUGUCCGGAAUCAUUGGGCGUAAAGCGCGUGUAGGCGGCCCGAUAAGUCCGCUGUGAAAGUCCAGGGCUCAACCCUGGAAUGCCGGUGGAUACUGUCGGGCUCGAGUCCGGAAGAGGCGAGUGGAAUUCCUGGUGUAGCGGUGAAAUGCGCAGAUAUCAGGAGGAACACCGAUGGCGAAGGCAGCUCGCUGGGACGGUACUGACGCUGAGGUGCGAAAGCGUGGGGAGCAAACAGG